UGACAUUAUCCUUGUCAGGUGUCUGCCACUUUGAAUCAUUUUCUUUACUUUCUUCAGUUUCUUUAUUCUGUGACUGAGCAGAUAAAUUUGCUAGAAAUGCUUCAGUGGAGACAUCGGGAGGUUUUCCCUUAAGACUAAGUCCUAACAAAGUUCCAGCAUUUCUUGUAGCACUUGAGGACCCUACAACUGCUGCAUCUGCAGGUCCAACAGUAGCAUUAGUGGACUCUUGCGUAUCAUCUGAACUAGCCUUUGUUUCACUAACUUCAGCAGUUACUUCGUCAACAUCCAUGUUUUCUUCUUUUAAGGUUGCUUGCUCAUUUAAUAAAGGUAUGUCUUCACUAGGACUUGCUUCUGGCUUACUUUGUUCAGAUACCUGUCCUGUCGUACCCAAAAGGCUUUGAAGAAUGUCAUCCACUGGCAAUGGUUUAUUUGCUAGCUCCAAAGUAGAAGGCUGAUUCUCCCACCCAACUAGAACACCAGGAAGAAAUCGGAGAGGCUUUGGUGGUUCAUGCUUGGUACUUUCCACCAACGGUUCAAUAACUGCUGGAACAUCUUCUAUAUUAGACUGUUGAGGUUUAUUUCUCUGCUUGUGUAGCACAGUUGUAAAAGAAUUAAAAAAAUCAUUUUCCUCUUCUUCUUCUAGUGCCAGUUCAUUAUGAGAGACUUCAGGUUUGCUUGGCUUGCUUUUCUUUUCUGGUGGCACACUACUCAAGGUACUUUCAGAAACUUCAUCCACAAAACUACUAGUAACACUUGUAACAGCAGAAAUCUGUCUCUUCAUUUUCUGUCGAAUUAUCAAACCCAGUAAUAAAUUUGGUCGAUGAAUUUCAAUCCCAGGCCCAUCAAAAGGCACGAGAUGAUGUGGGACUUUAUCUGAGGAACCUAACGGGAUGAGAUACAAAUCUUUGACUUGCUUCAUGUUAUUGGCAGCUACACCGUAACGUUUUCUACUGCUGAAAUAGGCAAAUAACAAAGCAUAGGAUAUCUGAUCCUCUUCAGUUACAGGGGUAAAGCGAACUACGCAGAUUUCCUUGGUCCCUGAGGCUUUGAUUUUUUCUACAUACUCCCAGACAGUGUGAGGGGAUAUCCUGCCACCUACCUGAAUACUAUCAGGUAAGUCCUCCGUUAAAUACUCAAAAGAGCCAGAAACUGGAUAAGCCUUGAUAACGAACUUUGCCACGGAAGGCAUGUUGAUGAAACCCUUCCAGAUGAAAUUCAGACGUGCCAGAAACAGACUUUCAC
rnacentral:lncRNA from 1 species